rnacentral:rRNA from 1 species
UACGGAGGGUGCGAGCGUUGUCCGGAAUCACUGGGCGUAAAGGGCGCGUAGGCGGCUUGGGAAGUCCGUGGUGAAAGCUCGUGGCUCAACUGCGAGUCGGCCAUGGAUACUCCUAAGCUCGAGUCGACUAGAGGCAGAUGGAAUUCCGGGUGUAGCGGUGGAAUGCGUAGAGAUCCGGAAGAACACCGGUGGCGAAGGCGGCAUCCUGGACCGAGAUUGACGCUGAGGCGCGAAAGCCAGGGGAGCAAACGGG